rnacentral:rRNA from 1 species
AACGAACGCUGGCGGCGUGCCUAACACAUGCAAGUCGUGCGAGAAAGUUCCUUCGGGAGCGGGUAAAGCGGCGCACGGGUGAGUAACACGUAGGUAACCUGCCCCCCAGUCUGGAACAACUAGAGGAAACUCUAGCUAAUGCCGGAUGAGACCACGAUCCCUUCGGGGGUUGCGGCCAAAGAUGGCCUCUACUUGUAAGCUAUCGCUGAGGGAUGGGCCUGCGGGCCAUUAGCUUGUUGGUGAGGUAACGGCUCACCAAGGCUGUGAUGGCUAGCUGGUCUGAGAGGAUGACCAGCCACACUGGGAGUGAGACACGGCCCAGACUCCUACGGGAGGCAGCAGUGGGGAAUAUUGCGCAAUGGGCGAAAGCCUGACGCAGCGACGCCGCGUGGGUGAUGAAGGCCUCGGUCGUAAG